rnacentral:rRNA from 1 species
UUCGCCUGUUUAUCAAAAACAUGUCUGUGUGAACAUAUAUGCGCAGUCUGGCCUGCCCCCUGAAAAUUUUAAAGGGCCGCGGUAUUUGAACCGUGCUAAGGUAGCAUAAUAAAUAGUCUUUUAAUUGAGGUCUAGUAUGAAUGGUCGGACAGGAGGUAAGCUGUUUUAAUUGUAGAUUUUGAAUUUUACUUUUAAGUGAAAAGGCUUAGAUUAAAUAAUGGGACGAUAAGACCCUAUAAAGCUUUACAUUUUAUUUAUUAGUCGGAAAAUUUAUGGUUUUUUAUUCUUUUUAAAUAAAAUGUUUCGUUGGGGCGACGAAAAUAUAAAAUAAUAACUGUUUUAAUAUAAAAAUAUUUUUUAUAGGUGUAUUGAUCCUUUUUAGAGAUUAAAAGAAUUAAGUUACUUUAGGGAUAACAGCGUAAUUUUUCUUGAGAGUCCAUAUCGACAGAAAUAGUUGCGACCUCGAUGUUGAAUUAAGAUUUCUUCAAGAUGUAGCAGUUUUGGCGGUGGGUCUGUUCGACCUUUAAAAUCUUACAUGAUUUGAGUUCAGACCGGCGCAAGCCAGGUGAGUUUCUAUCUUUUCA